rnacentral:rRNA from 1 species
UUUCCCUCAGGAUAGCUGGCACUCGCUUGAGCGAGUCUCAUCUGGUAAAGCGAAUGAUUAGAGGCCUUGGGGCCGAAACGACCUCAACCUAUUCUCAAACUUUAAGUGGGUGAGAUCUCUGGCUUGCUUGAACGUUGAAGCCACGAGAUUAAUCAUAAUGGAUCAGAGUGCCAAGUGGGCCAAUUUUGGUAAGCAGAACUGGCGCUGUGGGA